UACGAAGGGGGCUAGCGUUGCUCGGAAUCACUGGGCGUAAAGGGCGCGUAGGCGGCCGGCCAAGUCGGGGGUGAAAGCCUGUGGCUCAACCACAGAAUGGCCCUCGAUACUGGACGGCUCGAGACCGGAAGAGGUUGGUGGAAUUGCGAGUGUAGAGGUGAAAUUCGUAGAUAUUCGCAAGAACACCGGUGGCGAAGGCGGCCAACUGGUCCGGAUCUGACGCUGAGGAGCGAAAGCGUGGGGAGCGAACAG
rnacentral:rRNA from 1 species